AUUGAACGCUGGCGGCAGGCCUAACACAUGCAAGUCGAACGGUAACAGGAAGCAGCUUGCUGCUUUGCUGACGAGUGGCGGACGGGUGAGUAAUGUCUGGGAAACUGCCCGAUGGAGGGGGAUAACUACUGGAAGCGGUAGCUAAUACCGCAUAACGUCGCAAGACCAAAGAGGGGGACCUUAGGGCCUCUUGCCAUCGGAUUUGCCCAGAUGGGAUUAGCGAGUAGGUGGGGUAACGGCUCACCUAGGCGACGAUCCCUAGCUGGUCUGAGAGGAUGACCAGCCACACUGGAACUGAGACACGGUCCAGACUCCUACGGGAGGCAGCAGUGGGGAAUAUUGCACAAAGGGCGCAAGCCUGAUGCAGCCAUGCCGCGUGUAUGAAGAAGGCCUUCGGGUUGUAAAGUACUUUCAGCGGGGAGGAAGGGAGUAAAGUUAAUACCUUUGCUCAUUGACGUUACCCGCAGAAGAAGCACCGGCUAACUCCGUG
rnacentral:rRNA from 1 species